rnacentral:rRNA from 1 species
GAUCAUGGCUCAGAACGAACGCUGGCGGCAUGCCUAACACAUGCAAGUCGAACGAACCCUUCGGGGUUAGUGGCGCACGGGUGCGUAACGCGUGGGAAUCUGCCCUUUGCUUCGGAAUAACAGUUAGAAAUGACUGCUAAUACCGGAUAAUGUCUUCGGACCAAAGAUUUAUCGGCAAAGGAUGAGCCCGCGUAGGAUUAGCUAGUUGGUGGGGUAAAAGCUCACCAAGGCGACGAUCCUUAGCUGGUCUGAGAGGAUGAUCAGCCACACUGGGACUGAGACACGGCCCAGACUCCUACGGGAGGCAGCAGUGGGGAAUAUUGGACAAUGGGCGAAAGCCUGAUCCAGCAAUGCCGCGUGAGUGAUGAAGGCCUUAGGGUUGUAAAGCUCUUUACCAGGGAUGAUAAUGACAGUACCUGGAGAAUAAGCUCCGGCUAACUCCGUG